AGAACGAACGCUGGCGGCAGGCCUCAAACAUGCAAGUCUAGGGGGCGUAGCAAUACGUCACCGGCGGACGGGUGCGUAACACGUGGGAAUGUACUUACUGGUUCGGAACAACUCAGGGAAACUUGAGCUAAUACCGAAUGUGCCCGAAAGGGGAAAGAUUUAUCGCCAGUAAAUCAGCCCGCGUCCGAUUAGCUAGUUGGCGGGGUAAAGGCCCACCAAGGCGACGAUCGGUAGCUGUUCUGAGAGGAAGAUCAGCCACACUGGGACUGAGACACGGCCCAGACUCCUACGGGAGGCAGCAGUUGGGAAUCUUGGACAUGGGGAACCUGAUCCAGCCAUGCCGCGUGAGUGAUGAAGGCCUUCGGGUUGUAAAACUCUUUCGACGGGGACGAUAAUGACGGUACCCGUAGAAGAAGCUCCGGCUAACUUCGCGCCAGCAGCCGC
rnacentral:rRNA from 1 species